GAUGAACGCUAGCUACAGGCUUAACACAUGCAAGUCGAGGGGCAGCACAGUGUAGCAAUACACGGGUGGCGACCGGCGCACGGGUGCGUAACGCGUAUCCAACCUUCCCGUUACUCUUGGAUAGCCUUCCGAAAGGGAGAUUAAUACCUGAUGGUGUUCAAAUUCCGCAUGUUAUUUGAACUAAAGAUUUAUCGGUAACGGAUGGGGAUGCGUGACAUUAGGUAGAUGGCGGGGUAACGGCCCACCAUGCCUACGAUGUCUAGGGGUUCUGAGAGGAAGGUCCCCCACACUGGAACUGAGACACGGUCCAGACUCCUACGGGAGGCAGCAGUGGGGGAAUAUUGGGCAAUGGGCGCAAGCCUGACCCAGCAACGCCGCG
rnacentral:rRNA from 1 species